GUCGAGCGCACCCCUUCGGGGGCGAGCGGCGGACGGGUUAGUAACGCGUGGGAACAUACCCUUUACUACGGAAUAGCCUCGGGAAACUGAGAGUAAUACCGUAUGUGCCCUUCGGGGGAAAGAUUUAUCGGUAAAGGAUUGGCCCGCGUAAGAUUAGAUAGUUGGUGGGGUAAUGGCCUACCAAGUCAACGAUCUUUAGCUGGUUUUAGAGGAUGAUCAGCUACACUGGGACUGAGACACGGCCCAGACUCCUACGGGAGGCAGCAGUGGGGAAUCUUAGACAAUGGGCGCAAGCCUGAUCUAGCCAUGCCGCGUGUGUGAUGAAGGCCUUAGGGUCGUAAAGCACCUUCACCAGGGAUGAUAAUGACAGUACCUGGAAAAGAAACCCCGGCUAACUCCGUGCCAGCAGCCGCGGUAAUACGGAGGGGGUUAGCGUUGCUCGGAAUUACUGGGCGUAAAGCGUACGUAGGCGGAUCAGAAAGUAUGGGGUGAAAUUCCAGGGCUCAACCCUGGAACUGCCUCAUUAACUCUGGGUCUUGAGUUCGAGAGAGUGAGUGGAAUUCCAAGUGUAGAGGUGAAUUCGUAGAUAUUUGGAGGAACACCAGUGGCGAAGGCG
rnacentral:rRNA from 1 species